GGAGAUUAGCUUGGAUUAUCCAGGUGGAUUCAAUUUAAUCACAAGCAUUCUUAAAAGUAGAAGGAGGCAGAAGAAGAGAACUAGAGUGCCGGCGCUGUCGGGGAGCUCCUGCCCUGACAUUGCUGGCUUUGAAGAUGGUGGAAGGAGAUCAAUCAAGGAAGCAGGUGGCCUCUAAAAGCUGGAAAAAGUACAGAGAGCCUCCACCUUGAUCUUGGCCCAGUUAGAACCCUGUCAGGCUUCCUUCUACUGAGCUGUAAAGGAUGAUUAACCCUGAGCUAACAUCUACUGCCCAUCCUCCUUUCUUUGCUGAGGAAGACGGGCCGGGAGCUAACAUCUGUGCCCAUCUUCCUCUAUUUUAUAUGUGGGAUGCCUGCCACAGCAUGGCUUGACAAGUGGUGCAUAGGUCCACACCCAGGAUCCGAACAGGUAAAAUCUGGGCUGCAGAAGUGGAAUGUGAGAACUUAACUGCUGUGCCACUUGGCUGGCCCCUAAAGGGCCUUUGUGAGGUGGCUGUGUUUCAGUUCUGGCCCCUGGAUUCUAAUUGCAGCCCCUAUUUCAUAGAAGUGACUCAGUGGAACAACCUUAAUCAGCUGUUGCUAUACUUGGAGCAAAGGCAGAUUAGCCCUGGGCUAAUAUCUGCCACCAAUCCUCCUGUUUUUGCUGAGGAAGACCAACCCUGAGCUAACAUCAGUGCCUAUCUUCCUUUACUUUAUAUAUGGGACGCCUGCCACAGCAUGGCUUCACAAGCAGUAUCCAAGCAGUGAACCGCUGGCCAUCAAAGCUGAAUGUGUGAACUUAACCACUGUGCCACUGGGCCGGCCCCCCACCAUCAUUUUGUAUAAGAUUAUUCUUUCAUCAACUAUAUUAUACAGUGCCAUGUUUUUCUUUGAUCAAAUAUCCAUAUGUGCUUGAGUCUGUAUUGAGUUUUUAUUCCAUUGGUCUAUUUCUCUGUUCUUGCACAAAUACCAUGCUAUCUUAAUUACUAUUAGUUAUUAUUAUUAUUUUUUCCACGUGGCUAAUCAGUUGUAUAAGAUCUCUUUGAAUAGUCCAAAACUUGCACAGUAAUCUGAAAUAUCAACUUUGUAUCAACUUUUUUAUACAAAGUAUUUGUAUAAAAUAUGUAUCUAUUUGUAUACUCUGUAUUCAGUUUCAUUGGUCCGUAUUUUUAUUAUUCAUAGUGUGGAAAUUAGUGUAGUUUAAUAAGAAUAGACGUUUGAUAU
rnacentral:lncRNA from 1 species